GCCAGGCGCGGUGGCGCAGACCUGUCAUCCCAGCAGCUUGGGAGGCUGAGGCAGGAGGAUCGUGAGUUCAAAGCCAACCUCAGCAACUUAGUGAGGCCCUAAGCAACUCAGUGAGACCCUGUCUCUA
rnacentral:sRNA from 1 species